GACGGAGGAUGCAAGCGUUAUCCGGAAUGAUUGGGCGUAAAGCGUCUGCAGGUGGCAGUUCAAGUCUGCUGUCAAAGACCGGGGCUUAACUUCGGAAAGGCAGUGGAAACUGAACAGCUAGGGUAUGGUAGGGGCAGAGGGAAUUCCUGGUGUAGCGGUGAAAUGCGCAGAUAUCAGGAGGAACACCGGUGGCGAAGGCGGGUCUCUGGGCAGUAACUGACGCUGAGGAGCGAAAGCGUGGGGAGCGAACAGG
rnacentral:rRNA from 1 species